rnacentral:rRNA from 1 species
GAUGAACGCUGACAGAAUGCUUAACACAUGCAAGUCAACUUGAACUUUGGUUUGGGUGGCGGACGGGUGAGUAACGCGUAAAGAACUUGCCUCACAGCUAGGGACAACAUUUGGAAACGAAUGCUAAUACCUGAUAUUAUGAUUUUAGGGCAUCCUAGGAUUAUGAAAGCUAUAUGCGCUGUGAGAGAGCUUUGCGUCCCAUUAGCUAGUUGGAGAGGUAACAGCUCACCAAGGCGAUGAUGGGUAGCCGGCCUGAGAGGGUGAUCGGCCACAAGGGGACUGAGACACGGCCCUUACUCCUACGGGAGGCAGCAGUGGGGAAUAUUGGACAAUGGACCAAGAGUCUGAUCCAGCAAUUCUGUGUGCACGAUGAAGUUUUUCGGAAUGUAAAGUGCUUUCAGUUGGGAAGAAAAAAAUGACGGUACCAACAGAAGAAGUGACGGCUAAAUACGUGCCAGCAGCCGCGGUAAUACGUAUGUCACAAGCGUUAUCCGGAUUUAUUGGGCGUAAAGCGCGUCUAGGUGGUUAUGUAAGUCUGAUGUGAAAAUGCAGGGCUCAACUCUGUAUUGCGUUGGAAACUGUGUAACUAGAGUACUGGAGAGGUAAGCGGAACUACAAGUGUAGAGGUGAAAUUCGUAGAUAUUUGUAGGAAUGCCGAUGGGGAAGCCAGCUUACUGGACAGAUACUGACGCUGAAGCGCGAAAGCGUGGGUAGCAAACAGG